rnacentral:rRNA from 1 species
UACGAAGGGUGCUAGCGUUGUUCGGAAUCACUGGGCGUAAAGCGCGCGUAGGCGGCUUAGCAAGUCAGAGGUGAAAUGCCAGGGCUCAACCCUGGAACUGCCUUUGAAACUGCUAAGCUAGAGUGUCGGAGGGGAUAGCGGAAUUGCUAAUGUAGAGGUGAAAUUCGUAGAUAUUAGCAGGAACACCGGUGGCGAAGGCGGCUAUCUGGACGACAACCGACGCUUAGGCGCGAAAGCGCGGGGAUCAAACAGG